GCUGGAAUAGCGCAGUUGGCAGCGCAACUGAUUCGUAAUCAGUAGGUCGAGGGUUCAAGUCCCUUUUCCAGCU
rnacentral:tRNA from 1 species